UACGUAGGUCCCGAGCGUUGUCCGGAUUUAUUGGGCGUAAAGCGAGCGCAGGUGGUUUAUUAAAUCUGGUGUAAAAGGCAGUGGCUCAACCAUUGUAUGCAUUGGAAACUGGUAGACUUGAGUGCAGGAGAGGAGAGUGGAAUUCCAUGUGUAGCGGUGAAAUGCGUAGAUAUAUGGAGGAACGCCGGUGGCGAAAGCGGCUCUCUGGCCUGUAACUGACACUGAGGCUCGAAAGCGUGGGGAGCAAACAGG
rnacentral:rRNA from 1 species